AGUCCGAUACAUAGCGUAGUCGAGGGGCAGAGUCCAGAGUCAGGAACACAGUUCAAGAAGCGUGGAUGCAAGCCAUGGUUUUGACUCUUUGCUUCCACAGAAUUUCUGGCUUCACUGGGAGCUGCUGGAAAGCUUUCUAACCUGUUAAUACUCAGGACUAGAUGCACAUAGGUUUCUGUGGACAGCCUUUGAGCGACCGAUCCUCUGAUCUUCUUGUCCUAAGUCUUUCCCGAAGCCUGGCCCUUAGCUUGUCUGCUGUGGAAGGAGAAUCUCUCAGCAUUCUCUUCAGCCUCAGUUAACCCUUCUGGUUCCAGGUCUUCGGAUGCACUCAUGACACCUUUAAGGAUCAGAUGAUGAGUGUUUUGCUCCUUCUCUUAUGCUACAGGGGUAGAAGUACAGACACACUGCUGUUAACUUUCCAUCUCUUGCUGCUUAAUUUUCUAUCUGUAUAGUUAGUAGUGAUCAUUUUAGGGAGAGAGCCUUUGAUGGUCUCUGUAUCCUCACAUUGCUACUGCACCCUCACUUUUGGAAAGAUAGAUUGUGCCAGCAUGGCUUUGCUUCCACCAGUUCUGGUGUAUACAUAAAUAUUGUGCACACCUGUUCGUGCUGACUGCUUCAGAGAAAGAUCGACCAUGUAUCUCUUUGCUCAUGCUGCCAACUGAAAGAAGAAAAACCAGCCAUUGUGAUAUCAUCCUAAUUGUGCCACCAGCUUUAUGAAAAAACUCUGUCCAUUGUGAUGUCAUGUUUGGUUGAUGCUGCUGCUUACUCAGACAAGAUAGUCUGCUCUGUGCCCACCAGAAAGAGAGGGAUCCACCACCUCCUUCACACCAUGUUGCCAUCAAAUUUCAUGUGAAAGAUUAUCUUUGCACCUGAAACAGAGCUUUCUUAUUUUUUUUUUUAUGACGAUGGCAAAUGGCAGUUGCACCUCUGUUCAGGCAGUCAGCUGCAUGUUUCUUCAGAAGCAUAUCCCACAGAGGUCAGUGGGAAUAAAAUGGAAAACCAAUUUCAGCAGCCCUAGCAACUUUGCAGAUGAUGAAUAAAAAAGAGAGACCAAGACGGAAGACCAGGACUGGGAACAUGUAGCAGAGACAGAGAAACCAGUAUCCAAGUGAGUUUCUGCUGAGUGCAAUUUCCCUCCAGAACAGGGCAUUCUACUGUGUGUGCAAGUGUUGUCAUUGUGCAAACAAGGGGCAAAUUUUCUACAUCCAUGAUGGCAAUGCUUGCGUAAGUAGCAAUCCCAUGUUACUAUGUUAGUAAGUCUUUUUGCUCAGUUAAAACUGCACGACAGACAGCCUUGAGAGCCACCUUAGAAGAAUAAUCUGUCCUUUGCUAUACAGGAGUCUAGUUUCUCAUGCAGCAGUCCAGAGUUCGGGUGAA
rnacentral:lncRNA from 1 species